GUACACUGCAGUUCAAAAACCCACAGCAGACUACUAUCUUGUGUUUUUGAAAUGCCAGGAGUCUUGUUUAGUUUGAAUUUUGUGACAAAUUGAACCAUAGGUGGAACUGAACAUUUUGUUCCAAUAGAAGACAUAAAGGUAACAAGAGGAAACAGACAUCCAAAGGCAGAGGCAAGAUCAAAAUGGUGUGACCCCAAGGAGACCCAGCAGAAAGUCUAAUAUUUCCUGCUUCCCCAGUAAGACAAACAGGCUUCCAGACAGCCUCAGUCCUACUGGAAAUGCGAUCAAAGAAAUAGGGGGCCUGACAGGAUGACACUUGCUUGGUAACAACAAUAAAUCAGGGAUACUUACGUGUCCUCGUCAUCAGAGCGAGGCUGCAACCGGUCCUCAUCUACGUCCACUUCUCGCUCAGGACCAUCAGUUUCAUCACCUUGCAGCUGGGAGAGAGGGCCCACCAAAGGGUCGUCACCUGAAAAUGGAAACCAUAACA